GUACUUGCUCCUUCGGUACAUAUAGUAAAACUAAAACGGCACAUAGAAGAUUAGCAUGGCCCUUGCGAAAGAAUGACACACAAAAUAGUGAAGCCAUAGUUAAUUUA